rnacentral:rRNA from 1 species
GACGAACGCUGGCGGCGUGCUUAACACAUGCAAGUCGAACGAAGAGCGAUGGAAGCUUGCUUCUCUCAAUCUUAGUGGCGAACGGGUGAGUAACGCGUAAUCAACCUGCCCUUCAGAGGGGGACAACAGUUGGAAACGACUGCUAAUACCGCAUACGAUCUAAUCUCGGCAUCGAGGAUAGAUGAAAGGUGGCCUCUACAUGUAAGCUAUCACUGAAGGAGGGGAUUGCGUCUGAUUAGCUAGUUGGAGGGGUAACGGCCCACCAAGGCGAUGAUCAGUAGCCGGUCUGAGAGGAUGAACGGCCACAUUGGGACUGAGACACGGCCCAGACUCCUACGGGAGGCAGCAGUGGGGAAUCUUCCGCAAUGGACGAAAGGCUGACGGAGCAACGCCGCGUGAGUGAUGACGGCCUUCGGGUUGUAAAGCUCUGUUAAUCGGGACGAAAGGCCUUCUUGCGAAUAGUGAGAAGGAUUGACGGUACCGGAAGAGAAAGCCACGGCUAACUACGUG